UAUAGAUAAUGGCAAACUUAUUGAAAAAUAAGGACGCAAAGCUAAAGGGACUAACGGUCAUCCGAGAUCAAUGUCAGCCAGUUACCUCA
rnacentral:ncRNA from 1 species